rnacentral:tRNA from 2 species
GCGUGGCGAACGCCGGAAAAGGGCAUUUGCAAUUUUGCCAAGGUUGGGGUCGAGAGUUCGAAUCUCUUCGCCCGCUCCA